AGCAGCCGCGGUAAUUCCAGCUCCAAUAGCGUAUAUUAAAGUUGUUGCAGUUAAAAAGCUCGUAGUUGAAUUUCGGGAUCAAUACGUCGGUCGUGCCUUCGGUACGCACUGGCGUCGUUGAUUUCUCCCUUCUGAUGAACCAUGAUGUCAUUAAUUUGGUGUUGUGGGGAGCCAGGACUGUUACUUUGAAAAAUUAGAGUGUUUAAAGCAGGCUCACGCUUGAAUACAUUAGCAUGGAAUAAUGAAAUAGGACGUUUGAUUCUAUUUUGUUGGUUUCUAGGAUCGACGUAAUGAUUAAUAGGGAUAGUUGGGGCAUUAGUAUUCAAUUGUCAGAGGUGAAAUUCUUGGAUUUAUUGAAGACUAACUACUGCGAAAGCAUUUGCCAAGGAUGUUUUCAUUAAUCAAGAACGAAAGUUAGGGGAUCGAAGACGAUCAGAUACCGUCGUAGUCUUAACCAUAAAACUAU
rnacentral:rRNA from 1 species